rnacentral:rRNA from 1 species
CCUACGGGAGGCAGCAGUGAGGAAUAUUGGUCAAUGGCCGUGAGGCUGAACCAGCCAAGUCGCGUGAAGGAUGAAGGCUCUAUGGGUUGUAAACUUCUUUUAUAGAGGAAUAAAGGUAUCCACGUGUGGCUAUUUGCAUGUACCCUAUGAAUAAGCAUCGGCUAACUCCGUGCCAGCAGCCGCGGUAAUACGGAGGAUGCGAGCGUUAUCCGGAUUUAUUGGGUUUAAAGGGAGCGUAGGUUGUUUUUUAAGUCAGUGGUGAAAGUUUGUGGUUCAACCAUAAAAUUGCAGUUGAAAUUGGAAGACUUGAGUGUGUUUGAGGUAGGCGGAAUGGAGGGUGUAGCGGUGAAAUGCAUAGAUAUCACGCAGAACUCCGAUUGCGAAGGCAGCUUACUAAGCCAUAACUGACACUGAAGCACGAAAGCGUGGGGAUCAAACAGGAUUAGAUACCCGGGUAGC